UUUUUGCCCAUCCCCUUGAGUUGAUCAUGGCUCAGAACGAACGCUGGCGGCGCGCCUAUCACAUGCAAGUCGAACGAGAAGGCGUAGCAAUACGCUUGUAAAGUGGCACACGGGUGAGUAACGCAUGGGUAACCUACCCUCUGGUGGGGGAUAACUCCCCGAAAGGGGUGCUAAUACCGACGAUACGUACAGGCCUCGCAAGGGGCUGGUGGAAAGCCGAGCCGAGGGUUCGGCGCCGGAGGAUGGGCUCAUGUCCUAUCAGCUUGUUGGCGGGGUAAUGGCCCACCAAGGCUGCGACGGGUAGCUGGUCUGAGAGGACGACCAGCCACACUGGCACUGCGACACGGGCCAGACUCCUACGGGAGGCAGCAGUGAGGAAUAUUGCGCAAUGGACGACAGUCUGACGCAGCGACGCCGCGUGGGGGAUGAAGGCCUUCGGGUUGUAAACCCCUUUCAGGAGGGAAGAUGGGACGGGCAACCGUUCGGACGGUACCUCCAGAAGCAGCCACGGCUAACUCUGUGCCAGCAGCCGCGGUAAGACAGAGGUGGCAAGCGUUGUUCGGAUUUACUGGGCGUAAAGGGUGCGUAGGUGGUUAGGUAAGACCUGUGGGAAAGACCUGGGCUUAACCCAGGAAGGUCGCAGGUGACUGCCUAGCUAGAGGGCGGGAGAGGAGCGCGGAAUUCCCGGUGUAGCGGUGAAAUGCGUAGAGAUCGGGAGGAAGGCCGGUGGCGAANGCGGCGCUCUGGAACGUUCCUGACACUGANGCACGAAAC
rnacentral:rRNA from 1 species